UACGUAGGGGGCAAGCGUUAUCCGGAUUCACUGGGUGUAAAGGGAACGCAGGCGGUCUUUUAAGUCUGAUGUGAAAGCCUUCGGCUUAACCGGAGUAGUGCAUUGGAAACUGGGAGACUUGAGUGCAGAAGAGGAGAGUGGAACUCCAUGUGUAGCGGUGAAAUGCGUAGAUAUAUGGAAGAACACCAGUGGCGAAAGCGGCUCUCUGGUCUGUAACUGACGCUGAGGUUCGAAAGCGUGGGUAGCAAACAGG
rnacentral:rRNA from 1 species